CUCAGCCUUAUCUUAGGUGUCUGUCCUUCUCCCCAUACAGAUGGCUCAUUCCAGGUCCUGUCAACAGUACCGCACGCUCUUUAGGCUAGAGCGAUAGAAGUCACCCAGUGACGUGCCACAGGCCGGACAUCUCCACAUCUUCCCAACACACACAGGCUCCUCGGUCCCUAGGCGGGCUAGCAACGCCGUCGCUCGUCAACCAGGAAAGGGGGUGAAAGUAGCCACCUGAACAACUGGACUCUCCUGCAUGGCAUUUUGGCCCCUCUGAGGUAAGCGUAACUGUUAAGAAACCUUGCUGUUCAUACAUCCACUGCAAAACACACUACCCAUCAAG
rnacentral:lncRNA from 1 species